GAAUAUUGGUCAAUGGACGCAAGUCUGAACCAGCCAUGCCGCGUGAAGGAUGAAGGUCCUCUGGAUUGUAAACUUCUUUUAUAGGGGAAGAAAUCUGAAUAUUCCUAUUCAGUUGACGGUACCCUAGGAAUAAGCACCGGCUAACUCCGUGCCAGCAGCCGCGGUAAUACGGAGGGUGCAAGCGUUAUCCGGAUUCACUGGGCUUAAAGGGUGCGUAGGAGGGCAGGGAAGUCAGUGGUGAAAUCUCCGGGCUUAACUCGGAAACUGCCGUUGAUACUCUCUGUCGUGAAUCCCGUGGAGGUGAGCGGAAUAUGUCAUGUAGCGGUGAAAUGCUUAGAUAUGACAUAGAACACCAAUUGCGAAGGCAGCUCGCUACACGAAGAUUGACUCUGAGGCACGAAAGCGUGGGGAUCAAACAGG
rnacentral:rRNA from 1 species